rnacentral:rRNA from 1 species
GACGGAGGAGGCAAGCGUUAUCCGGAAUUAUUGGGCGUAAAGCGUCCGCAGGCGGCUUUUUAAGUCUGUUGUCAAAGGUCACAGCUCAACUGUGGAUCGGCAAUGGAAACUGGGAGGCUAGAGUGUGGUAGGGGUAGAGGGAAUUCCCGGUGUAGCGGUGAAAUGCGCAGAUAUCGGGAAGAACAUCAGUGGCGAAGGCGCUCUACUGGGCCACAACUGACGCUGAGGGACGAAAGCUAGGGGAGCGAAA